CUGAAGAAUAUAGCUUAAAACUUUUUGACAUUUUGCCAUUCAACUGGCAUUAAUGGUAAAAAAUUUAAUUUUUGAUCAAUUUUUGAAAAUAGACAUGAUGAAACCCCUUAUAAAAAAAUGCGAAAAUCGUGUUAAAUAAUAUUUAAAAAUAACGAAUUUUUAAAAUGCGUAUGUCGGAAAAAGCAGCAUUAAAAAACAGUAUUCCUUUUGAUAUUUACUGCUAUUGCAAAGGAUUUAGCGGCAAAAAGGCCAAACUGGCCACACAGGCAGCAGCAAGGGCCAGCGAUCCGGGACUCAGACAGAGGACACACACAGAUGUGCAUCUGUGCACGCACACAGGCACAGGAUUGGAGAGCAGAGCUAAGGAGAAGGAGAAGGAGGAUGCUGACUCAGUCCAGUGGACGUUGGACAUAGACGCCUCCAGGCCUCCAGGAUGUGGGACUAGGAAUAACAUUUUUAUUUUUUCCGCAUUUCUCUGCCUCUUAACUAUUUAUGAGGUCGAGUUGUUUGUGCAGUUUGAUUAUUUUGCUGGCAGCAGAGCAACGGUAACCUGUGACUUUUCAUAAUUUAACAUUUUGGCAGCAAAAGAAAGGGACGGCGAGAGAGUGGGCGAUCGCAAAGGGAGUUGCCGGCGUGUGAGUGUAAAGAGAUCGCCUAGCUGCGGGAAUAUUUACUCGAAUAUAUGAAAUAAUUUUUUUUUUUAAUUAAAAAUUGCUUACUGCAACUGCAGAGUCAUAAAAAAAAAUGAAGGGGAGAUGCACACAACCAUAAACGAAAUCGAUUUUAUUUGUAUAAAUUGGAAUUGGUUUCAACACAGUUAUGAAUAAAAUGCAAAAAUCCCAAUAACAAUAACGAGCUGAAUGAAGGACGAGAACAGUGGACAUUGCUAACGAGAAUUAAAAUGUAGUCGGACGAUUCUAAACUUUCUUUUUGGACCAAUUUCUAAUGUAUUAGUUGCUUUUGAUGAGCAGAUAUAAGAAUUAAACUCGGAACUGAUAGGCUUCUUCUGCCAAUUGCAGGAUAAUACAAUAUUUAUAUAACCAAUUUCCACUGUAAUAAUCGAGAUGAAACCGCAAAGGAGGUUUUGUGGUUGCUGCUGUUGCAAAAGUAUUUUAUUGUGGCCAUCGAGGAAGCUGUUGUUAACUGUUGCCCAAUGAGAUGACGAAUACGAUGAUGAUAAUGAUGAUGACGACGGAGAGGGAGCCCGAUGCACCAGUUCCCCCCGAGCCGUUGCCAGCUUUAAUUAAAAAGUUACCUGGCAAAAAUGUUUUAGCUAUUUGCCUGGCAGCGAUGGCAACCUGACCUGACCCUCGCCCAACCUCUGAGCCACAGGAAUUUUUGCACAUAAAAAAAUAUUGAUUUGAAAUCAGGUGCACACAUAUGGACCAACCCAAUUUGAGGUAUCGAAGGAAUGUCGGAGCUUGUCAGACCCCCACUUCCAUUUCCCCGUGCUCCGGCCAGGUGACACAACAUUCCCAAGACGGAAUGCAGCCGGGUCCGGGAAAGUGCGUCAGGUGCGGUGUGUUUGAUGCGUGAAGCCGCGUAAAGUGGGAUGUGGAUGUUGGGAUCUGGGCUGUGGGAUGUGAUGCCAACCAGGCCAGAUCCCAGAUCCAUCUCAAUUACCUCGCCUUAACUCACUAGCGAAGCGAAGGGGGAAGCAGUUCAAGUUUGAGCUGUUCAGUUUGAGGUCGCUUAUGAAACUACUAUCUUGGCCAGAACUUGGCAUCGAAUUUGGCCCGCAUGUGCAGCCCCGACUGGAAGUUCAAGUUUGAGUGGUUCACCUGUGAAGGAGACUGCGAUUGAAGUUUUAAUGUUCGACGGUCCUGGCUGAAAGUUGAAGCAAUUACUCGUAAGAUAGAAAAUUUUUAGCAAACCAUAACUGGUUGGGUUAUGAUGAGAAAAUAUUACAUAUAUUCUGGUAUUUCAGAAGGUGAUUUCUGACAUUUGGACAAUAAUAAAUCAUCGAAAUUGUAGUAAACAACUUUAACAUAAAAAAAUGGCAUAAUUGAAGAAGCUCCUCUGCUUACAUUUCCUACAUUAG